AGAGGAAGAUGAGCUGGUACCUCUGGUAAUCUGGUACCUCUCUCUUACUUCAUCUUCUCUGAGUCCUCUCUGUGUAGCAGACCAGGAGUAGUCAGGCGGGGCCUGCCUCUCGCGGAAAAACUGAGAGUCAGGUUCAGUACGGUAGGGGCCUGCCUGAAAUACGGAUCCACGCGGAUCAAAUGCGGAUCAGGCUGAAAUGCGGAUCGACGCGGAACGCUCGCGGAUCUGUAUUAAAGUACAGAACAACACGGAAACUAUACGGAUCUUUCUGCAAGAAUGAUAGCUAUGCAUCAGGAGAGAAAUUUAUCAGCUCUAUUUGAGUCUUUGAUAGGAACUUUAUCAUCCUUGCAGUUUCAGUACAUGCAGUUGAGAUCUACAGAUAAGCUGAUAUCCUCUUGAGCUAUUCUCUUCAACUUUUGUAAACAUACAACCAUUGCCUGUGAUAAUGAGAAAACAGACUACUACUAGAUCUAACUACUGAGCAGUCACACACUCAACAUUAGCUCAGUGUGCCUUCAUGCAGUCAAGAGACAAGUCAAGUUAUUUUAAAGUGCUAUCAUGGCUGUACCCCCCAAGUUCAACAUAGAUGGCAAAGUGGACCAUUGUCUGGGAAUUCCAGUCUUUGUUUUUUUACUUUAUCACUGUUAUUUUCUAAUUAUUAUUAUUCAUUCUGCAUGACUUAUAGAAUUAUUAUAUUUUUAAUCUUUAUAUAUUAUCAUUAUUCAGCUAACUACUAUUAUUAUUUAUUCAUUCCAUCAAUCAUUCACAGUUGUAGUCUCUUAAAAUUUUACUAUUAGCUAUUGUUACUCAUUCCUUUUGUUUAUUGAUUUAAUCUCAUUGUAUUUCCCAAUUUCAGUGUACUAUAUGCUUUGGUUUUAUAAUUGCAAAAUCUAAUUAAA